rnacentral:rRNA from 1 species
CAGCCGCCGCGGUAAUACGGAGGGGGCUAGCGUUGUUCGGAAUUACUGGGCGUAAAGCGCACGUAGGCGGCUUGGUAAGUUAGAGGUGAAAGCCCGGAGCUCAACUCCGGAAUUGCCUUUAAGACUGCCGAGCUAGCAGGUGAGAGAGGUAAGUGGAAUUCCGAGUGUAGAGGUGAAAUUCGUAGAUAUUCGGAAGAACACCAGUGGCGAAGGCGGCUUACUGGCUCAUACUGGACGCUGAGGUGCGAAAGCGUGGGGAGCAAACAGGAUUAGAUACCCCUGUAGUCCCUGUCUCUUAUAC